GUGUUAUAUAAAAGAAGUUAGCAUUCUCCUUAAAAAGGUUAAGAAGGGUCUAGUCACCUAAACAAAAGAUUAAUAGUUAAGGUAUUGUUACUUUCUUUGACAUCUAACCAUGUCCUCUG
ensembl:snRNA